GCUGGAGCGAAUAGAAGUGAGCAUGCAGGCAUGAGUAGCGAUAAUUAAUGUGAGAAUCAUUAACGCCGUAAACCCAAGGUUUCCUACGCGAUGCUCGUCAUCGUAGGGUUAGUCGGGUCCUAAGUCGAGUCCGAAAGGGGUAGACGAUGGCAAAUUGGUUAAUAUUCCAAUACCAACAUUAGUGUGCGAUGGAAGGACGCUUAGGGCUAAGGGGGCUAGCGGAUGGAAGUGCUAGUCUAAGGUCGUAGGAGGUUAUACAGGCAAAUCCGUAUAACAAUACUCCGAGAACUGAAAGGCUUUUUGAAGUCUUCGGAUGGAUAGAAGAACCCCUGAUGCCGUCGAGCCAAGAAAAGUUUCUAAGUUUAGCUAAUGUUGCCCGUACCGUAAACCGACACAGGUGGGUGGGAUGAGUAUUCUAAGGCGCGUGGAAGAACUCUCUUUAAGGAACUCUGCAAAAUAGCACCGUAUCUUCGGUAUAAGGUGUGGUUAGCUUUGUAUUAGGAUUUACUCCGAAAGCAAGGAAACUUACAACAAAGAGUCCCUCCCGACUGUUUACCAAAAACACAGCACUCUGCUAACUCGUAAGAGGAUGUAUAGGGUGUGACGCCUGCCCGGUGCUCGAAGGUUAAUUGAUGGGGUUAGCAUUAGCGAAGCUCUUGAUCGAAGCCCGAGUAAACGGCGGCCGUAACUAUAACGGUCCUAAGGUAGCGAAAUUCCUUGUCGGUUAAAUACCGACCUGCAUGAAUGGCGUAACGAGAUGGGAGCUGUCUCAAAGAGGGAUCCAGUGAAAUUGUAGUGGAGGUGAAAAUUCCUCCUACCCGCGGCAAGACGGAAAGACCCCGUGGACCUUUACUACAGCUUGACACUGCUACUUGGAUAAGAAUGUGCAGGAUAGGUGGGAGGCUUUGAGUAUAUGACGCCAGUUGUAUAUGAGCCAUUGUUGAGAUACCACUCUUUCUUAUUUGGGUAGCUAACCAGCUUGAGUUAUCCUCAAGUGGGACAAUGUCUGGUGGGUAGUUUGACUGGGGCGGUCGCCUCCCAAAUAAUAACGGAGGCUUACAAAGGUUGGCUCAGAACGGUUGGAAAUCGUUCGUAGAGUAUAAAGGUAUAAGCCAGCUUAACUGCAAGACAUACAAGUCAAGCAGAGACGAAAGUCGGUCUUAGUGAUCCGGUGGUUCUGUGUGGAAGGGCCAUCGCUCAAAGGAUAAAAGGUACCCCGGGGAUAACAGGCUGAUCUCCCCCAAGAGCUCACAUCGACGGGGAGGUUUGGCACCUCGAUGUCGGCUCAUCGCAUCCUGGGGCUGGAGCAGGUCCCAAGGGUAUGGCUGUUCGCCAUUUAAAGCGGUACGCGAGCUGGGUUCAGAACGUCGUGAGACAGUUCGGUCCCUAUCUGCCGUGGGCGUAAGAAGAUUGAAGAGAUUUGACCCUAGUACGAGAGGACCGGGUUGAACAAACCACUGGUGUAGCUGUUGUUCUGCCAAGAGCAUCGCAGCGUAGCUAAGUUUGGAAAGGAUAAACGCUGAAAGCAUCUAAGCGUGAAGCCAACUCUAAGAUGAAUCUUCUCUAAGCUCUCUAGAAGACUACUAGUUUGAUAGGCUGGGUGUGUAAUGGAUGAAAGUCCUUUAGCUGACCAGUACUAAUAGAGCGUUUGGCUUAUCUUUAAUAAAGCAU
rnacentral:rRNA from 1 species